rnacentral:lncRNA from 1 species
GUGUGUGUGUGUGUGUGUGUGUGUGUGUGUAUUGGCAGAUUGUUAAAUGAACAAAUAUGCAAUUCCAACAAUAACAUUCACAAUGGGUUCAUUCUCCUCUGAUUGGCUGCUGGUUAUGGUGUUCUAUGAUUCACUUACUCUGUAAUGCUCAGAAUCUCACUUGGAAGACAUUACUGAGAUAAAAAGAUACAUUAAGAAACAUCAAAUUUUCAGCUUUCUGACAAUUUAAAGAGAGAUUAAUACAGAAAUUAAGUCAGGUAUAAAUGGUAGAAAAUAGAAAUACUGACAAUAGAGUGAAAGAAGGAGGUAAGAAAAAAAGCAGAGUAUAGGGGAGAGAAGGCAGGGAAUGGAGUGGGAGGGAAGAGAAGAGGGGACUCCAAGACCAUGGUGACCACUAAAUGGAAGCAUAUUUUGUGUGUUGCACAUGCCCAUGACGUCUUAAAAGAUGCAUUCAAGUCCUCAUGCAUUUAUGACCACACCCAUGAGUGUGAGCAUUCCUGUGAGUGUGACCUGUGAGUGUGACCUGUGAGUGGGUCAUCCAGGAUUAGGAAGGAGCCCAGCUCUGACCCAAGGGUAUCAGGCACGUGUAAGGCUGGGGCUGCAUGGACAGUGAAAAGAUGCUAUGUGGUUAGGGAGGCAGUGAUUCAACAUUGCCUCAGCUAGCACUGGAACACCGACAAAAGCAGCAGCUUCCAAAACCAGAGAGAAGCCUGCAGCAAGCAGAUUCUCCCACAGGGUGCUAGAAAGGACUGCCCCUACUGAUGCUUUGAUACAUACUUCUGUCUUUCAGGACUUGGAGAUAAUCCAGUUCUCUGGUCAAAGCCUGAAAUUGUGGUGCUUUGUCAUGGUAGUCUUAGGAAAUGAUGGUCAAAAACAGAGAGAUGUAGGAGCAGAGAGAAGACAUACCUGUGUAAAUCAGAGGGUCACAGAGAUACAACUCUGAAUCCUAUGAGGAAUGAAGGGAAUUAUAACUUUAAACUGAGCGAGGUAAAUUCCUUUUUUCACUAAGAACUCAUUCUUUUUAUUUUUUUUAACCACUUUUGUUUUUGGUGAAAUGAGUCAAGUUUAUAUUCAUUGGCAAGUACCUGGAGAGCAGGUUUUAUGUCAGUCAGUGCCAAGAAGAAGGUUUUACCAAUCAGCUAACACAGGCAUGUUCUCAUGAAGAGUGAGGUUACCAGAGAAGACUCUACUCAGACUGAAUUCAACUCCAAAUUCGAACUAAGUAACUAUAACCUGUCUGUACUAGGGUUCUGUCUUAUUUCAACUGGAAGUUGGGUUUAAUAUUCACAUUGGGGAGUUUCAGGACCACAAGAUGAAAAAUCCUUAUGAGUGAAAUUCAAACUAUUAAUGGGGAAAACAUUUUCCUCUGUUUAUUUUCUUAGAACAAUUUGUGGAAUGUUCUGUUGAUGCAUGAUCUUGAAAGUCAGUAACAUGUAUGUAUUGUCUUUUCAUAUCUCAUAGGUAUCGAUUGAAUUCUCGUCACAGAACACACUCAGUAAGAAUCCCUGAUGCUUUUACAAGAAGAACUUUCUAGAAAAGCUUGCACUGAUAUUGUAAUAGUUCUUUUGUGUUAAGAAACAGGGUGGCCUUGAUCUUUCUUAUAAAAGGGCACCAAGUAUCUUCCUUGGCUGAGGCAUCUGAGUUUCUUACCCUGUUGCAUUAAGACCAUACUUUCAAUGGUUUUUCUUGGACAUCCAGAGGCCAGUGUACCUUCUCUUUAUGUUAGGGAGGACAACUGAUCCUUUACUGUAAGUAGAUGCCUCUCUUUUAUGUUCCUUUGAGGGAAGAGGCUGUUCUAAGUAUGUAGGGCAGACACUAUUUAGAAAGUGUGUCUAUCAACAUUUGGCCAAAGGAUACUUCUCCUUUACUUACAAGUCUACUUAUUGUGUGCACUUUGGACAUAAUGAAUACUUGCCUCUGGCGAAAAUAAAACGGCAAGAAAUUUUUUUUUUAGGAGAAUG